rnacentral:rRNA from 1 species
CAGUCGAACGCACCGCAAGGUGAGUGGCAGACGGGUGAGUAACGCGUGGGAAUCUACCUAGCUCUUCGGAAUAGCUCCGGGAAACUGGAAUUAAUACCGAGUACGCCCUACGGGGGAAAGAUUUAUCGGAGUUAGAUGAGCCCGCGUUGGAUUAGCUAGUUGGUGGGGUAAUGGCCUACCAAGGCGACGAUCCAUAGCUGGUCUGAGAGGAUGAUCAGCCACACUGGGACUGAGACACGGCCCAGACUCCUACGGGAGGCAGCAGUGGGGAAUAUUGGACAAUGGGCGCAAGCCUGAUCCAGCCAUGCCGCGUGAGUGAUGAAGGCCUUAGGGUUGUAAAGCUCUUUCGGUGGGGAAGAUAAUGACGGUACCCACAGAAGAAGCCCCGGCUAACUUCGUGCCAGCAGCCGCG